rnacentral:rRNA from 1 species
UACGUAGGGCGCAAGCGUUGUCCGGAAUACUGGGCGUAAAGCGUGCGCAGGCGGUGAUGUAAGACAGGUGUGAAAUCCCCGGGCUUAACCUGGGAACUGCAUUUGUGACUGCAUCGCUGGAGUGCGGCAGAGGGGGAUGGAAUUCCGCGUGUAGCAGUGAAAUGCGUAGAUAUGCGGAGGAACACCGAUGGCGAAGGCAAUCCCCUGGGCCUGCACUGACGCUCAUGCACGAAAGCGUGGGGAGCAAACAGGAUUGAGAAACCCCUGG